GAUGAACGCUGGCGGCGUGCCUAAUACAUGCAAGUCGAGCGAACAGACGAGGAGCUUGCUCCUCUGACGUUAGCGGCGGACGGGUGAGUAACACGUGGAUAACCUACCUAUAAGACUGGGAUAACUUCGGGAAACGGGAGCUAAUACCGGAUAAUAUAUUGAACCGCAUGGUUCAAUAGUGAAAGACGGUUUUGCUGUCACUUAUAGAUGGAUCCGCGCCGCAUUAGCUAAUUGGUAAGGUAACGGCUUACCAAGGCAACGAUGCGUAGCCGACCUGAGAGGGUGAUCGGCCACACUGGAACUGAGACACGGUCCAGACUCCUACGGGAGGCAGCAGUAGGGAAUCUUCCGCAAAGGGCGAAAGCCUGACGGAGCAACGCCGCGUGAGUGAUGAAGGUCUUCGGAUCGUAAAACUCUGUUAUUAGGGAAGAACAAAUGUGUAAGUAACUAUGCACGUCUUGACGGUACCUAAUCAGAAAGCCACGGCUAACUACGUG
rnacentral:rRNA from 1 species